rnacentral:rRNA from 1 species
UACGAAGGGGGCUAGCGUUGCUCGGAAUCACUGGGCGUAAAGGGUGCGUAGGCGGGUCUUUAAGUCAGGGGUGAAAUCCUGGAGCUCAACUCCAGAACUGCCUUUGAUACUGAGGAUCUUGAGUUCGGGAGAGGUGAGUGGAACUGCGAGUGUAGAGGUGAAAUUCGUAGAUAUUCGCAAGAACACCAGUGGCGAAGGCGGCUCACUGGACCGGUACUGACGCUGAGGCGCGAAAGCGUGGGGAGCAAACAGG